rnacentral:rRNA from 1 species
AGUGAACGCUGGCGGUAGGCCUAACACAUGCAAGUCGAACGGCAGCACAGUAAGAGCUUGCUCUUACGGGUGGCGAGUGGCGGACGGGUGAGGAAUACAUCGGAAUCUACUUUUUCGUGGGGGAUAACGUAGGGAAACUUACGCUAAUACCGCAUACGACCUACGGGUGAAAGCAGGGGAUCUUCGGACCUUUCGCGAUUGAAUGAGCCGAUGUCGGAUUAGCUAGUUGGCGGGGUAAAGGCCCACCAAGGCGACGAUCCGUAGCUGGUCUGAGGGGAUGAUCAGCCACACUGGAACUGAGACACGGUCCAGACUCCUACGGGAGGCAGCAGUGGGGAAUAUUGGACAAUGGGCGAAAGCCUGAUCCAGCCAUACCGCGUGGGUGAAGAAGGCCUUCGGGUUGUAAAGCCCUUUUGUUGGGAAAGAAAAGCAGCAGGUUAAUACCCCGCUGUUCUGACGGUACCCAAAGAAUAAGCACCGGCUAACUUCGUG